ACUCCCAAUGCACAGGGUCUGACUGUGCAGGCAGAAGACAUUUUGCUUAUUUGCUCUGCUCUUUCCUAUAGCUAACCUGCUCCCAGGUGUCUGUACUUCUUGUUUUUAACCACCUGUUUGGGCACUGUUUCUGGGAAAGCCUCUGGACGUAGGAGCUGUAGUAGGCCAUGCCGAAAGAGUAUUGUCCAAUGACUGGAAGUAUUACAUAUCAUGUGCAAGCAGCCAGAUAAUACCACCGCUGUAUAAAGUUCAUACUCAACUCCAGGAGCUCCAGUGAGGAGCUGGGCAGGCGCCGGAGGGACAGCGCUGCAGCCAGAGGGACAGAUCAGCAGCCGGAGGAAUAGUGCUGCUGCAGGGAGCCCGCUGCCCGGCAUGGAAGGGUGCAUGGCCGGAUGGAGCUUGUCAGGGAAACGUUUAGGGUUCCUGCACUGCACGGACUCCCCGUUAUCGCUGCCAAUCACGCACUUGUGGAGACUACACCCCGACUUGCUGCCACAUGCAGACUCUUCUCUUGUGACUACACACGGAAUGGUCCACAUGUCAAGUGAUAUGGACAAUGAAAUGAGCAUAUGUCCUGAAGAUUUUCCACCCACAUUUUUCCAAGUGGACAGUAUUUAACCCAAUGGAUCUAACUUCAAUUCAAGAGUGGAAAACUAAAAGUUUAAUGACAUAGAGGGCAACUGCACAUGCACUAAAAUUCACAAAAAUUCCUACAGCACACGAGUCCCACAGUGUGUCCUCACAAAGGCACAGUUGAAAUCGAUAUGCUCUGUAUAAGAAAUGCUGAGGAAAAGUGCAGGGUGUUUCUGGGCGGUGACUGGGAGGUGGCUGUUAAGGAACACAAUAAUUGCCCUGAUUUAUGAGUGUGUUAUGCAAGUGUUACAGGCAAGGCGGUGAAAGCGGCUGCGUACACAGACACACAUAGUCAGCUAGAGAAUUUUUUUUCUUUUUACUUGAAGCCCGAGGUGCGUGGCUUCAUCACCCAGUGUCUUGUGCAAAAUGUGCUGGGGGAGUAGGACCUUGUAUCCUCUCCAAAAGGAGAAGGGCCCCAUUACUCCCAACCCCUCAGAUCCAAAAGGCCUACUGAGGGGAAAAAGGGUCUGUGGGUCCCUACUUGCCAAAGCACAGAGGGACCCUCAAGUAUCCUCAGGGUUGGCCGAAGUUUCCUCCUGUGGAACGAAACAGUCUCCAGCCCUCCCCAAAAGGAGAGGACCUCAACAACUAGGGGAGAGGGUGGCCCAUAAGGGUCUCACCUAAACCCCACCAAAACGUGACAAACACACGAAAAACACAAAAAAGUGCAGUGUAGUGCAAAAAAAGUGCAAAACACGUGAAUAAAUAAAUAAAUAGGCCCCAGCCCAAAGGCCAGGAGAAAAUAAAAAAUUAUCCUUGCCCUAGCCAAAAGGCCAGGGCAAAGGAAAGUGAGUGCAGACAGGAAGGAUGAGGUGCUCAGUGCAAAAGUGCCAUACUAGUGCAUGGUGUGUCACACCACCAGUGCAUUUUCAGGCAUCCCUGGCUUUCCCAGCACCAUGGGCACAUAGCAACCUCGGGCGUCAGGCUGCUCCCGACCCUCCAGCAAGACCAAGCUUCAUACCAACUCUGUACCAGUGCAACAUAGUUUUGCCCAAUUGCUAACAUUUUUGUUUUGCUAAUAAACCUGAAUAAGGCCCUUAGUACUGAGAGACUUGGAACUGGGGGAUCCUAAUGUUAGCAAAACAUAGGAGGUUCCCCUACUUAGCUCAGGCUGUCCCAAUGCUUAAAGUAUAACUUUCCUUUAACUGUUCUUAACAGGGCCUUUCAUGAAGGUUUACAGACCCACGGACAGUACAGCAUACUUUUGUUAUACUGGUGAUAAAUGAUUGUUGUGUGUAUUAUUUCCAUUCCAUGUACUUGCCAUUCUAGCAAAUUGUUUUUCUGAAACAAUGUGCCAUCUGUGAUGAUCUUUUCCUUACCCUUCUAAAUCUGUGAUUUUGUAACCAUGGUUG